ncrna:unclassified sequences C4 antisense RNA
GUCUAUGGUGGCUGUGCGUGGGAGGCUUUCGAGCCUGCCUGGAUUGGAAAAUGCCCGGGUCUACCACCUCGCGUACAGUCGCCACCCAU